ensembl:lncRNA novel transcript, antisense to KCNK10
AAGUGGUGAAGAACUUUAUUUUCUGUAGAUCAUCAUGACAUCAGUUUCAAGACCCACCCAACUGGGAGCAUGUGAAAUUUUUUCUUAGAAGGUCAUCCAAAAUUUGAGAUAUUUCACAUGAAGAACAUGUAUGGAGGCUGACCUGUAUGCCAGUUCAGAUCCGUAGAGCCAGGUUUCUCUUCAUGGAUUGCUUUGCGCUCCUCCUCCUGCAAGACAGUGAGUCUCCACAGGCCCAUGAAUGUCAUAAGUGAGUGCAAGCUUGAAGAAGCACCUAUCCUGUGCUCAGGACAAAAUAUCUGUGGUCCAGAGCAGAGCUCCCAACCCAGCUACUAUGAACCACGCUAGGCCCCAGAAAAGAAAGGAAAACAGAAGAGACAUUGGAUUGGAUCUUCCAGAAGGUCUUUGUUGCAAUUUUUCUCCAUCAUUGAAAAAAAAAUUACAUCAUCAAAUAAAGACAAUAGCAGCACAGCUUA